UCCUCCCCACCUCGGCUCCUCUCCCCACGAUCUCCUCGUCGCCGCCCCCACCCACGCCAGCCGGUUCCGGCGAGCACCGGCCGCGCGCAACACCCCACCUCCUCCUCCUCCCCCUCCCUUCCCCUUCCCCUUCCUCCUCCGCCCGCCCCUUCUCUCUCCUCCUUCCUCCCGGCGGCCGGCGAUGGGCGCGGACGAGGAGGAGCACCAGUUCCCCGCGCGGAAGCGCGAGCGUGAGGAGGGGGAGGAGCCCAUGGCCGCCUUCCCAAAUCUACAUCAGUCCGUCGAACAGCAGCGGCCGUGCUGUUCCUUCGCCGGCAAGAUGUCUACCAAUGGCGUCGAGAUUAAUGGUUCCUUCUUCCCAGCGGAGUCACAGGAUUCAUGAGCGUCCCAAACGACACAGUCUGUGCCACCGGCUAUGCGCGACCGCCUGUGGAUGCAGUGGUGGGCGAGGUGUCUCUGAAGCCACCAGCGGCUGGACGCGCAGGGGUGAUCGACGCUGACUAGCGUGGCCCAGUGGGUGUUGUGCUAUUCAACCACUUGGAGGCGGACUUUGCUGUGAAGCACGGUGGCCACGUCGAACAGAUGAUCGUCCAGGUGAUUUUGACACCGGAGGUCUUCGAGGUGGAGGUCCUCGACACCAUCGUCCGGGGGAAGGAGGAUUCGGGUACAUUGGCUUCUGAACUCCGAGCCUCGGUAGAUACAUCUAGAGAAGUGAUUUGUUUAGGUUGGUGGUGGACCACUAGGGGAGGUACUUCGAUGAUGGUUGUGUGUCUGAUGUUAAAUGGAAUCCUGAGAUGGUUCUGUGACGUUGGUUUGCUUUGCA